CUCACSAAGGUACACAUCUACGGAAUCACCAGAGCCACUUCCGCCCACACGAAAGAUGGCGGCUCCCUUGAUGGAGAAAUUGUCGGAAUCUUUAGGUUCCCCAGAACCUGCGGUUCGACUGAUUCUGUCCGUUUUAGUCGGGUACCCCUGUGCCCUGCUGUACCGGCAAUUCUUCUUCCACCAGCCACCCACUGUCAUUCACUUAUACCACGCCAUCUCCGGACUGUCUCUGGCAGCUUUCAACUUUGCAGGCACACAGCUCUAUCACUCUGCAUUAUGCGUCCUUGUCCAGUUCCUGAUGAUGAGGCUUAUGGGAAGGACGAUAACAACUGUCCUGGCCAGCUUUAUUUUUCAAAUGGCAUACCUGCUGUCAGGCUACUACUACACAGCUACAGAAGAAUACGAUAUCAAAUGGACCAUGCCCCAAUGUGUCCUUGCACUCAAACUUAUCGGUUUGUCAUUUGAUUACUAUGACGGUGGCCAGGAACCAUCCAAGUUGAAUGAGGAGCAGAAGAGGUCAGCCCUGGCCAAUGUUCCCUCUCUGCUGGAGGUUAUCGGCUUCUCCUACUUCUACGGAGGCUUUCUGGUGGGACCCCAGUUCACACUGCGCAGCUACCAGAGGCUAGUCAAAGGGGAGCUCACCGACUGCCCCGGGCAGCCACCUAACAGUGUUAUACCUGCUAUGAAGCGGUUCUCCCUCGGCCUCCUCUGCCUGGUGAUCUACGCAAUAUUUAGUCCGCACUACCCAGAUAGCUAUUACCUAACAGAUGAGUACGACGCGCAGCCGUUCUGGUACCGCUGUGUCUUCAUCCUCCUUUGGGCCAAAGUCAUCCUGUACAAAUAUGUUAGCUGCUGGGUCAUAGCGGAGGGCGUCUGUAUACUCUCUGGGCUCGGCUAUAAUGGGCUGGGUCAGAAUGGCGAGCACCAAUGGGACGCCUGCGCAAAUAUGAAGGUGUGGACGUUUGAGACCACACCACUUUUCACAGGCACCAUCGCCUCCUUCAACAUAAACACCAAUGCCUGGGUGGCCAGGCACGUGUUUAAGCGGUUGAAGUUCCUGGGUAAUAAGCUCCUGUCUCAGGUGACCGCGCUUGCGUUCCUGGCCAUCUGGCAUGGCACGCACUCUGGAUACCUCCUCUGCUUCUCCAUGGAGUUCAUCAUCGUAAAUGUGGAGAGACAGGCCCAAGCGCUGGUGAGGGACAGUCCCCUGCUGACCCGCCUGGCCAACAGUCCUCUCUACCCCCUCAUCUACCUGGUCCAGCAGUUCAUCCACUGGCUCUUCAUGGGCUAUCCUUUGGUGCCCUUCUGCCUCUUCACCUACGACAAGUGGCUCAGGGUGUAUUCAUCCAUUUAUUUCUGCGGCCACAUAUUCUUCUUCACAUUGUAUCUAGGCAUCCCAUAUCUCCGCAAGGUGCUGGUACCUAGAAAAGAACGGAGCGAGAAAAAGGAGGACUAGAACUAUGUUAGGAAAUGAAGCGUCCCCUCCCAACAGUGCUGUACUGCCCGUAAAAUGAUUUCUGCCCUCGUUGAGACAUUACCAACUUUACCCUCUUCAUGUAAAAAUGAAAAAAUGCUAUUGGGUCUCUGGCUGAAUCUACACCCAGGAUGUGACUGAAGGGAACUGACUUUUAACUAGGAGCAGAUCAGAAAAUAUUUUAAAGCCUUUAAUAUUAUUUGUGUACACUUUCUUUCUAUUUAUUUUAGUGUUUUGGACGGGACGCACGUUUUUUUGGGACAAGGGAGAUGAGGGUACAGGAAAUAACCUUUGUGCCACAAUUGUGAGCCAAUCAGGGGGUGUUUUCUUGAUUUUAGAGAACUUGAGAGACUGACGUCUUGUAUACACAGAAUAUUGCACUCGCCACUCACGGGCUCUGGGUUUGUAGACGGCUCUGUUUUUAUGAUCUCUCUUGUUUCAACCCUCCCCUCAAGUCCAUAUAGACUGAGUAUACAAAACAUCCUAAUAUUGAGUUGCACCCCCCCACAGCAUCAAUUCGUCGGGCAUGGACUCUACAAG